rnacentral:tRNA from 1 species
GUUGUGGCUCAGUAGAAGAGCAUUGGUUUGGUACACAGAAGGUCCCAGGUUCAACCCUUGGCAUCUCCU